UCUGGUUACUGGAGCGACUCGGUCCCACCCUUUCCCAUCCCGAACAAGGAAGUGAAACGAGUCAGCGCCGAUGAUACUAGCCCAUAACGGGCAGGGAAAGUAGGUCGUAGCCAGGG
rnacentral:rRNA from 2 species